UACAGAGGGGGCAAGCGUUGUUCGGAAUUACUGGGCGUAAAGGGCGCGUAGGCGGCCCGCUAAGUCGAACGUGAAAUCCCCAGGCUCAACCUGGGAACUGCGUCCGAUACUGGCAGGCUUGAAUCCGGGAGAGGGAUGUGGAAUUCCAGGUGUAGCGGUGAAAUGCGUAGAUAUCUGGAGGAACACCGGUGGCGAAGGCGGCAUCCUGGACCAUAACUGACACUGAGAGACGAAAGCCAGGGGAGCAAACGGG
rnacentral:rRNA from 1 species